rnacentral:rRNA from 1 species
UACGUAGGGGGGCAAGCGUUGUCCGGAUUUAUUGGGCGUAAAGAGCGUGUAGGCGGCUUGGUAGGUCUCGCGUCAAAACCUGAGGCUCAACCUCAGUUCGCGUGGGAAACCCACCUAGCUAGAGUCCGGAAGAGGAGAACGGAAUUCCCAGUGUAGCGGUGAAAUGCGCAGAUAUUGGGAAGAACACCCGUGGCGAAGGCGGCUCUCUGGGACGGUACUGACGCUGAGACGCGAAAGCGUGGGGAGCGAACAGG